rnacentral:rRNA from 1 species
UACGUAGGUGGCAAGCGUUAUCCGGAAUUAUUGGGCGUAAAGCGCUCGCAGGCGGUUUCUUAAGUCUGAUGUGAAAGCCCACGGCUCAACCGUGGAGGGUCAUUGGAAACUGGGAGACUUGAGUGCAGAAGAGGAGAGUGGAAUUCCACGUGUAGCGGUGAAAUGCGUAGAGAUGUGGAGGAACACCAGUGGCGAAGGCGACUCUCUGGUCUGUAACUGACGCUGAGGAGCGAAAGCGUGGGGAGCAGACAGG